AGCAGCACACAACGGGGGCAUGUCAGCCACGCCGUCACGGGCACCCUCGAGUCGCACCACGAGGCGGGUCUCUUUUUUUCAUGUGUCAAGCGACCUUAAAACGCCGUUGAGCAUAGCCCGGUCAAAGACGAUGUCGGACACAUCAUCGCACAAGUCAACGAAGGACGCAGAGGGGGAGAGGGCACGUCGAUGUGCAAACGCACUGAGGCAGGAGGGCACCACUACUACUGCUGCUGCUUCGGCGGCGCUGGACUCGCCAUCGGCCGCAGUCGAGACCCAUGCUUCACAGCCGACAACUGCCUCUCGCUGUACUCGUGGUGCGAGCAGCUCGCGCCUCUCAUGCCAGCCCCUUUCCGAGGAGUACCAGCGCUGGAAAAUCGAAUCGCCUUCUGCAAGCCGCGUUACAAUGGAGCUGGAGUUCUCCCUGGAGAAUACGCCGCUGGCAGGCGCAAGGCCUCCUCCAGUCUGGUGCGAAUCAUCGCCAUGCACGGCUCCUCGUGGCAGCCGGAACUCCCUCGCCAACUCCUCUACCCCUUCUAGGAGGAUCACAACGCUGAGCGACGCCAGGAACAGCGUAUCCACGCCUGGGAGCAACCCGUACACGGAUGUGGAACGGGAGAUAUCAAACCAGAGACGGCGCCACGCUGUGGUGCGGUACUUCUUCGUAUCCCACGAGGGCGCCAUUCGGCUCAACAUCCGGCUGCAGCAGCUUUUGAAGUACCGCGAUCUCUGCGAAGCCGAGAUGCACGAGCGCCUACAGGUGCUACCGCCUGAGGCGGCAAGUGUUGCUGCGCGCUCCACCGCCCGUUGUGGCCGUGCGACUGAGACUGAGCGCGAAAUCGAGCGAGUGCAGGCAGCUCUUGCGCACCUAGCUGCCUCCUCGCUGGAGCUUGCGGGGACUUUGGAGGGCAUGGGCGGCUUGUUCACGCCAUUGCAGUCGGCGCCGCGUUCCCAUCAAACAGCAACCGCAAUCCAUAGCAAUCACACCCCCUCCGCAGCUGACGUUGAGCAUGCAGGAGAGAGAGGCGCCAAGAGUGGCGGGCGAUCUGUCAAUGAAGGCAUCCUCGCCGCCACCAAGAAGGCAGGCGAGAAGAAGCCCCCAGUCCAACAGCCAUUAGACACCUCAGAAUCAUCCAUAACGACAAGCGUCUCCACCGCAUUUGAGGCGGGCGGCAGCUACUCACUCGUGGAGUCUCCGAGGACCUCUACAGUGGACGAAGCGGCAAAGCAGCGUCCGCCGUCGAAGUCACACAUAGCCGUGGCGGCGGGACGCAACAGUCGAAAGAGCGACCUGCCGAGCGUAGAGCGGACGGCAAGGAGCGCAGAACCUUCGCAGACGGAGAGUGCCGGAGUAACGGGGAGUCACGGCAUCACGCCACGCAACAGCACCGUCGCAUCUGAUUUUAUGCGCGCCUCCAUUGUGGCAACACCGAAGGUAGCGGUCGAGACUGCUGCAGCAACAGACACGAAGACGCGGCCAGGCCAGCCGCCUUUCUCUUCCCCGCGAAGGAAGGCAUCGAGCACAACAGACAACGAGGGAAAAGAGGUAGCUGCUGCCAAGGCUACGCCACCGCGGUGCAUGGUCAUCGAUUGUACCAGUGUCUCCACUCCAGGGAGGGAUCAUCGCACGACAGAGUCGUGGCUGCGCCAAGCCGCUGCAUCACAUCACCUUGCCUCGGCACCUCCACAACAACCACCGUCGUCGCUCUGUUCCACGAAAGCCACCGUGCCAUCAGCAGCAUCGGUCAAACCGCAGUACCCGAGCGGCAUCACCGCGCCGCGGGCUAAGGCUUUCGCAGUAACUCCAGAUCGCCGGACCCAGGCGCGCACGCAGGGGCAACCGGCAUCGUCGUCUCUGACGGACUCGCCGCUGACACGCUACCGCGCCAAGCAAGGCUACCGAAAUCCAGAAAGUCACUUCUGUUCGCAGCUCGCAGACGCUCCUCGACAAGGUGCUUCUGCUACGCACAACCCACUACCACGGGCAGCGACCACCGGUGAGCCGAGUGGAGCGCAGGAUCGAGAGAAGAGCAAAGGCCCUGUGACUGCCACGCGGGCUUCCGGUGCGACGAGACAUGCCACCCUGCACGAAGAUCAGGCCACACUCACGCAGGAGCGGAGGCGACUCGGACCUGUGAAGAAUGAGGGAAGCCCCGACACAUCUCAAGACAGGUCUGCUGCCCAAUCGCAGGACAAAACGCCGACGUCGACGGGGCGAUGGCCCGGUACACCCUGCGCCCGAGCAGCGAAGUCCUCCUCGACGCCGUCGCCGAGUCCAAGCGAAUCGAAGGUACCGGCUCACAAGCCGCUCUUUGAGAGCUUUCGUUCCAGGGCUGCUUCAGCCGGAUCCUCGCCGCCGCCGCACUCGCGUGCCUCCGAUGUACCUACGCUGGGACAGUCGACAGAAUCCACCGCUGUUGCCUCCUCUACAAUCCCUUCUCAUCCCCCAACAAGCACCUCACACCCGUCAACAUCUGAUGCUCGGCAGCAAUCGUCAAAGCCCCCCACGGCAUCGGCUUCUGCGCUUGGCGGGGGGAGUGUAACACCAUCUACGAAUGCCUCGGCGGCACACGCGCUGACCGGCUCAGCGAUGUCGGUAAUGGACUGGAAUGUGCCAUCGCGAGCACCAGGAGUGGCGGGGUCACCGCCGCCGUCAGCGUCAUCGGCCUCGGUACCGCCGAACAAAGAGCUGCCCUCCGACGAGAUGGCCUCUUGGUCCCCUGCCGAUUCUGCCGUUGCGCCCGCCGGCGGUGCAGUGAGUCUCUCAGAUGUCGAGUCGUGGCCCGCCGGCGAGCAACAAGAAGCAGAAAAGAACGCUGAGGUCAGUGCAGGCGCCCUGCUGCGAGGAAGCACGCGUGAAAGAAGUGCCGAGCCGCGCAUGGAUGGGUGCCAUUCAAUCUGGGGCAACAUUAGAGCGCUUGAGAGCCGUGUCGGGGACCUGGAGAGCCGCACCACGGCGCUGGAGAAGAAUGCGGAGAAGCGCGCAGUGCUGGAGGUCAUUGGGCACCUGAAGGCGCGCGUCGGUGUGUUGGAGCAGCGCACCACCUUACUAGAGCAGCAGUCGAGCGCUUCACAUCUGCGCAUCCACUGGGAGAAGCCGUAGCCUAUUUUCCUCUUUUUUUUGUGGGGGGCUAGACGGGGUGGGGCACGAGAUGCAACGCUACGGCUGUCUGUACCACAGCCUCAACAAGGUCGUUGGAGCACGUGACGUGUGCAGUCUUGUCCUCCCUCUCCGCUCCUUCUCAUUUUCCUCACGCCUGCGGCUAGUGUUGCCUUUGGGUGCGUUUACAUGUUUUUACGUUUCUGUGCCCCUCGGAUGGCGGUGUCAUUGAUAUGCCUCGCUGCUAUCUUGUGUCUCUUCCGCUCCCCCUCUCUUACACUUUUGCCUGUUCGUGUGGCAGUGCAGAGUAUGCUUCGCAGAGACGUUUCGGGGAAGAGAUGCGCGCUUGGAAAGGGAGGGCCUUAGUAUGGCGCUUCCGCUUUCCUUGCUGCCUCUGUCGUUCCCCCCUCUGUGCAUCGCGCGGCGUCGUCGGUGGUGGCAGGCUUCCUUAUCUCUCCUCGUUUGUGCUAUCGUGCCGGUGUCUGUGAGUGUUUCGUUGUAUGUCCCCUGAACACACACCCUCCGUUCUUCCGGUGUGCGUCGUCCGCGACGGAUCAUCUCCUCUUGGUUCACUCUUCCUCUCCUCGCUCUCUUUACUAGGACUACUACCCAGUUGUGUCUUAUACGAAUCUGACGCCUUCUGUGAGGAAGGCGUCAAGCUAUCG
rnacentral:misc_RNA from 1 species